AACGACUCUCGGCAACGGAUAUCCCGGCUCUCGCAUCGAUGAAGAACGUAGCGAAAUGCGAUACUUGGUGUGAAUUGCAGAAUCCCGUGAACCAUCGAGUCUUUGAACGCAAGUUGCGCCCGAAGCCAUUAGGCUGAGGGCACGUCUGCCUGGGUGUCACGCA
rnacentral:rRNA from 1 species